UACAGAGGUCUCAAGCGUUGUUCGGAUUCAUUGGGCGUAAAGGGUGCGUAGGCGGCGCGGUAAGUCGGGUGUGAAAUCUCGGAGCUUAACUCCGAAACUGCAUUCGAUACUGCCGUGCUUGAGGACUGGAGAGGAGACUGGAAUUUACGGUGUAGCGGUGAAAUGCGUAGAUAUCGUAAGGAAGACCAGUGGCGAAGGCGGGUCUCUGGACGGAUACUGACGCUGAGGCGCGAAAGCCAGGGGAGCAAACGGG
rnacentral:rRNA from 1 species